CCUACGGGUGGCUGCAGUGGGGAAUCUUGCGCAAUGGACGAAAGUCUGACGCAGCGACGCCGCGUGGGUGACGAAGGCCUUCGGGUUGUAAAGCCCUGUGGGCGGGAACGAACCGGCGGAGGGUGAACAUCCCUUCGCCUUGACGGUACCCGUUUAGCAAGCAUCGGCUAACUCUGUGCCAGCAGCCGCGGUAAGACAGAGGAUGCGAACGUUGCUCGGAAUUACUGGGCGUAAAGCGCGCGCAGGCGGUUCUGUAAGUCUGAUGUGAAAGCCCG
rnacentral:rRNA from 1 species